ACUGUCACCUGACUCCAUUUGGUAUGCUUUUACUUUAAAGAGUGGCCCAGCUAACUACUGACAACACAAAGACAGGCUUACAUGAAUUUGUGACCCACAGUAGUGCAGGGCUUAGGGCUCCAAGUGCCAGGGGACAGUGUCAGGUGGGGAGUCACUCUAGGGCAGUAUAACUGUAAAACCAAAAUGUAGUCCAGGGAAGAUGGAAAUUUCCUGUAGAGCAGAAGGGCAAAAGCUCACCUGAUCGUGAUUUUCAGACUUUCUGUGAAAGAGAGGCCUUACGAUACUUCUGUCUAUUUGUUCAGUAAGCGGGAGGUGUCAUAAAAGUUACCACAGGGAUGAAAAGGAGGCCAAGUGUUUAUAGUGACACAAAACUGAAAUUUUAAAGUUUCCAAUUGCCUUUUCAGCUUUGUGUCUUCUCUUUUCAGUGUGAGGCCGAAUUCCCUGAGCUCUGGAUUGUUCCCUCAUUAACAAGGAAUGUGACCUGGCUUUUGGCUGUGAUAAGAAAGGUU
rnacentral:ncRNA from 1 species